GACGCCUUAAUCCACCCAGCACAAGUCCUUUGAAACCUGAAAUUGAGAAAUCAAAUUAGCAGCAAGGUUGAGAAAAAAAAAUCGCUUACGAAGCAAUUUCCUAUCCCUAGUAAUUUAUUCAAUUAGAGAACGUUCAUGAUUAAAACCUUCCUUAAAUUAUCUUUGUGUCGACUUUGUUAAAGGAAUUUAAGAGAUUUAGAGACUUCGCCUUGCCUUAACCAAAGAAAAUCCACCAGCGGCUUCUAAGAUUAAAUCCGAAGUUGUCUUAAUUAGCUGCGGCCAAUUAAUUAUCACUAAUUCUAAGCUUAAUUGAGAAACUCGAUUCCUCAAUUUGCACUUAAAUGAUGAUAGGGAAAAUUCCCAAUUUAAUUAGGUGAUCACUCCAAUUGAAUUAGAAAAAUUCCUUGAAAGAUAAAAUCAAACAAUUCAAGAAUGCCGAAUUUGAUUUGAUAGCAAAAUAAAUUUUUCAAAGUACUUGUGCCAGGUUUCAUGAGUGUCUAACUAAGCUUAAAUAAACUAGCCACUCAUAGCAAACGAAAUGAGACAAAAAUCAAUUGUAAACAACACAAAUUACAGACU
rnacentral:lncRNA from 1 species